ensembl:lncRNA
CACAGUCCUUAUGAUGUAAUCACUCUAUGAAGUAAACACAGUCCUAAUGAUGUAAUAACCCUAUGAAGUAAACACAGUUCUUAUGAUGUAAGCACACUAUGAAGUAAACACAGUCCUUAUGAUGUAAGCACACUAUGAAGUAAACACAGUCCUUAUGAUGUAAGCACACUCUAUGAAGUAAGUGUGUGCACUGUAUAGGGAAUAGGGUUCCAUUUGAGACGUAGCCAGUGAUAGUCAGUGUUGAUUCCAGCGUAACCCAUAGAGGACUCUCUCUCAGAUCAAUAGGCUGUCUACGUGGUCAUGUUUAGACUAUAGCCCUGUCUCUCACUCAGCCUUAAUGCACAUUUCCUUCCACUCACUGUGGGGGAGUGAAGGAGCAUAAUGGUCUAUACUCAAACGCAGCCCCAGAACCAGGCCACUGUCUGUCCCCCUACAGAGGAGCAGACGUCUCCCUCCUGUCACUAACCCGAUGGACGACAGGCCAGUACAACCUGUGAUGUUCAAUGGCCGCCCCUGUAUUCCCCUAUAGACAGAGACAAGACAGGUUGGCCAAUCGCUGUAUUCCCCUAUAGACAGAGACAAGACAGGUGGCCAAUCACUGUAUUCCCCUAUAGAGAGAGACAAGACAGGUGGGCCAAUCACUGUGUUCCCCUAUAGAGAGAGACAAGACAGGUGGCCAAUCACUGUAUUGGAUGUGUGCUAUAGAUGAGGUUUCAACACUCUUCUGUUGGUUGUGCUUCAGUCUGUACACACAUUGUGAGUGGCUUAUACUUAACGACUUUAGUUGAGUGAAUUCAAAGUGAUAGUCAAGCCACCGUGCUGUAUCAGUGUCGGUUGACUGGAGCGAAGGAAAACAGAAUGGAGUCAAAUGAUGUCUUGUUAAAUGUCUGACUCAUCUGAGGGAAGUGGGAGGUAGGAUAGUUGUAAAACAAUCCCCCUGUCUAGAAAUCCAG